rnacentral:rRNA from 1 species
UGAGGAACAUGACCUUCGGCGGGGGAGUAGCCGGCCCAACGGCCGGGUAAUACCGCGUACGACCACAUGGGGACAUCCCUGAGUGGUGAAAGCAGCAAUGCGCCGAUGGAGUGCCUCGCGGCCUAUCAGCUUGUUGGUGAGGUAAUGGCUCACCAAGGCGACGACGGGUAGCCGGCCUGAGAGGGUGACUGGCCACACUGGGACUGAGACACGGCCCAGACUCCGUAGGGAGG